rnacentral:rRNA from 1 species
GACGAACGCUGGCGGCAUGCUUAACACAUGCAAGUCGAACGGUGAAGCUCCAGCUUGCUGGAGUGGAUCAGUGGCGAACGGGUGAGUAACACGUGAGCAACCUGCCCCUGACUCUGGGAUAAGCUCUGGAAACGGCGUCUAAUACUGGAUACGAGAAGCGUCCGCAUGGGCACUUUCUGGAAAGUUUUUCGGUUGGGGAUGGGCUCGCGGCCUAUCAGCUUGUUGGUGAGGUAAUGGCUCACCAAGGCGACGACGGGUAGCCGGCCUGAGAGGGCGACCGGCCACGCUUGGAAUGAGACACGGACCAGACUGCGACGGGAGGCAGCAGUGGGGAAUAUUGCACGAUGGGCGAAAGCCUGAUGCCGCGGCGCCGCGUGAGGGAUGACGGCCUUCGGGUUGUAAACCUCUUUCAGCUGGGAAGAUAAUGACGGUACCAGCAGAAGAAGCCCCGGCUAACUCCGUG